GGUGAGUUCUAUAUACAUCAGGCCGACUGACAAGGCGAUCACAACCACUAAGGACAGUGCCAAGACGGUGAGUGGCCAUGAGGCCACCCUUGUGCCCCAGCUCUGGAAAAACCGGCCAAGGACAGUAUGAGAUGCAGACCCUGGGACAAGGACCCUAGGACAAGCACUUGACUUGGAAGGUGACUUCAGGUUACAACAGUGGGGUGAGCAAGCAAAGGACCAUGGGAUAUGAGGAAACCGAUGAAGAUGCAUUCCAGACCAGCUCCUGGGGGGCUGGAGAGAUGGCUCAGCGGUUAAGGGCACUGGUUGCUCUUCCAGAGGUCCUGAGUUCAAUUCCCAGCAACCACAUGGUGGCUCACAACCAUCCAUAAUGAGAUCUGGUGCCCUCUUCUGGCCUGCAGACAUACAGACAGAACACUGUAUACAUAAUUAUUAUUAUUAAUAAUAAUAAUAAAAGACCAGCUCCUGUCCCUGAGACCUCCAGGACAUAGAGGGGACCACCCCUAGAAGACCCCUCCUCGACCCGUUCCCCCAGCCUGCCCCCCAGUGGAUAAGGGUGUGGCACUGUCCACACCUACAAGUCAUUGAUUGAGAACACUCCCCGAAGUCUGAACCUCGGGACAUGUAGCCACUGUUUUUCCACAUCACAAACCCUCAAAACAAGGAGUUACUACUGGUAGGGACAUGGUAGUGUAGGCCUUUAAUCUAAGCUCUCUGAAGGCAGAGGCAUGUGGAUCUCUGUGAGUUCAAGGCCAGCCUGGUCUACAGAGUGAGUUUCAGAUCAGCCAGGGCUACAGAGUAAGACCCUGUCUCAA